rnacentral:rRNA from 1 species
AUUGAACGCUAGCGGGAUGCCUUACACAUGCAAGUCGAACGGAUUGGCGAACGGGUGAGUAAGGGAUCGGAACGUGCCCAGGACCGGGGGAUAACUACGAGAAAGCGUAGCUAAUACCGCCUACUUUUGGAACGGCCUAUAUCGGAUUAGCUAGUUGGUGGGGUAACGGCUCACCAAGGCGACGAUCCCUAGCUGGUUUGAGAGGACGACCAGCCACACUGGGACUGAGACACGGCCCAGACUCCUACGGGAGGCAGCAGUGGGGAAUUUUGGACAAUGGGGGAAACCCUGAUCCAGCCAUCCCGCGUGUGCGAUGAAGGCCUUCGGGUUGUAAAGCACUUUUGGCAGGAAAGCGGUACCUGCAGAAUAAGCACCGGCUAACUACGUGCCAGCCGCCGCGGUAAUAC